AUGAGGACUACUGGGAUACAAAGACAGCAGCCGCUUAUGGCCACCAGUUGGGAGCUUGGAUUCACUGCAGUAACCUGUCAAGAAUUUCACCCAACUGCCAGGGCCAAACCCUGCAGUCUGAAGCUCCUACUGACUUCGGUGGCUGCUUUGCCCAAGGGAAAGGUGGCAAAGCUUGGUUCAGCAGCAAGUGCAGCAAACCCCAGAGCUCCACAGCAGUUUGCCCUGGUGAAGCUGCUUUUGCGGGAGGUGCUUUUGUUUUUCCCUGCAAAAGUGAAACGCAGCUCACUGUUGGCUUGGAAGCUCGUGUCCUUGAUGGGUGACCCAGCAGAACUGCCGUGCUCGUCCUUCAUCCCAGGGAAAAGCCUGCAAUGUCCAACAAAACAUCCUUGGAGAGGGAGCUGA
rnacentral:lncRNA from 1 species